rnacentral:rRNA from 1 species
AUUGAACGCUGGCGGCAGGCUUAACACAUGCAAGUCGAGCGGAGAUGAGGUGCUUGCACCUUAUCUUAGCGGCGGACGGGUGAGUAAUGCUUAGGAAUCUGCCUAUUAGUGGGGGACAACAUUCCGAAAGGAAUGCUAAUACCGCAUACGUCCUACGGGAGAAAGCAGGGGAUCUUCGGACCUUGCGCUAAUAGAUGAGCCUAAGUCGGAUUAGCUAGUUGGUGGGGUAAAGGCCUACCAAGGCGACGAUCUGUAGCGGGUCUGAGAGGAUGAUCCGCCACACUGGGACUGAGACACGGCCCAGACUCCUACGGGAGGCAGCAGUGGGGAAUAUUGGACAAUGGGGGGAACCCUGAUCCAGCCAUGCCGCGUGUGUGAAGAAGGCCUUAUGGUUGUAAAGUACUUUAAGCGAGGAGGAGGCUACUGAGACUAAUACUCUUGGAUAGUGGACGUUACUCGCAGAAUAAGCACCGGCUAACUCUGUGCCAGCAGCCGCUGUAAAAC